UUAUUGUAGGCCAUGUGUCACUAGGGGUGGGCUUUGAAGUUUCAAAAACCCACACCAGGCCCAGUGUUCCUCUUUCUGCCUACAUAUCAGGAUAUAGCUCUCAGGUACUGUUCCAGUGCCUGCCUGUAAUGCUGUCAUGCUUGCUGCCAUGGAGAUAAUAGACUAAACCUCUGUAACUACAAACACAUUCUUAAUUAAAGGCUUUCUCUUAAAAGAGUUGCCUUGGUCAUGUUGUCUCUUCACAGCAAUAUAGUUGGAGCAAAGUGACUAAGACAUACCUGCCUCAGCGAUAGACACUGACUGCUGUUGGAGGGAGGUGCUGACUGCUCUACUUACUUCCUGCUUAGAGGAAACGGAAUCUAGAGGACUUGGAGGGUUUGAGCUGGACCUGACCUGAAACCCUCUUCCCCGAGGACUAGCUUUCGUAGUAAUGGAGAGUGCUGUGCAGAUGGCUAAAAGAGGGAAGCAAUCAAUAGUCCUGCCAAUCUGUGAGGCUGAUGACCAAGACAGUGACCAGCAUUAGCAAGGUAUAUCUGUAAAGAUGCUAACCAACUGCUGUGCUAACCAAUUGGACUUAAGGCCUGCUCAGCAGUGGGGAAAGCAUACCUGCACUAUAAACCCAGCCAAUGGCUGAUGUGGCUAAUGAGGUCACAGAUUUGUGAGGAGAACCUACUGAUGUCAUGUCCCUGUAACAGUAAUUAGCCUAACUGCUUUCUAAAUAUUUGUCCUUAUACCCACAGAUAAAUAUAGCUCUCACUCCUCAUCAAAGAAGUGUAUUCUUGCAGAAAACAGACAAUUUCAGAGAACUGCACCUAGUCAAAAUGCAGCGAACAACUGAAUGUAAGGUGCCCAACCACCUCUCAAGUUCAUGGAACAUCAUAGAAGGAUGGAAAGAUUUAAAGAGCCAGAGAACCAGUAAGUUUACUGUAAGAUUGUGUCUACUAGAAGUGAAAGGGAAGCUAUACCAUUAAACCUCAAAAAUAUGCUUGCCAAAAAGGACUUGAAUAGUGGUCACACCAAUAGGCAUGCUUACUUUGAAGGAGGAAAUCUCAUGGGACCCCACCCCUAGACAAAGAACUACAGGUAAUGACUACAGAUAGUAACUGCUAGAAAAGGGAGAAUUCAUCUCCCCCCAGGGAUGAGCCCUUAAAUUGGUUAUCUACAAGUUAUCAACACUGGAAAAUCACACACACACAUGCACACACACACCAUUGAAUAGAUUCAGAAGAUUGUCUUUAUAUAUUUAUAUGUGUAUACAUAUAUGUCUAUAUAUUAAGGAAUGAUAAUUAAAGAAAAAGAGGACAUGGAUUUGAGAGAGAGUGAGCUAGGGCAGACAUGAGAGGUCUAGAAUGAGGAGAAGGAAAUUAUGUCAUUAUAUUAGAUCUUUAAAAAAAUUAUAGAAAAGAAAAAAGCAUUAUAGACGUGGCUCUCAUCUCCUGCAUUGCUUUUUGGUCUUUC
rnacentral:lncRNA from 1 species